rnacentral:rRNA from 1 species
AUUGGGUUUAAAGGGAGCGUAGGCCGGAGAUUAAGCGUGUUGUGAAAUGUAGAUGCUCAACAUCUGAACUGCAGCGCGAACUGGUUUCCUUGAGUACGCAUAAAGUGGGCGGAAUUCGUGGUGUAGCGGUGAAAUGCUUAGAUAUCACGAAGAACUCCGAUUGCGAAGGCAGCUCACUGGGGCGCAACUGACGCUGAAGCUCGAAAGCGCGGGUAUCGAACAGGAUUAGAUACCCUGGUAGUCCGCGCGGUAAACGAUGGAUGCCCGCUGUUGGGCCAACUGGUUCAGCGGCCAAGCGAAAGCAUUAAGCAUCCCACCUGGGGAGUACGCCGGCAACGGUGAAACUCAAAGGAAUUGACGGGGGCCCGCACAAGCGGAGGAACAUGUGGUUUAAUUCGAUGAUACGCGAGGAACCUUACCCGGGCUUGAAUUGCAGAGGAAGGAUUUGGAGACAAUGACGCCCUUCGGGGCCUCUGUGAAGGUGCUGCAUGGUUGUCGUCAGCUCGUGCCGUGAGGUGUCGGCUUAAGUGCCAUAACGAGCGCAACCCCUCUCCAUAGUUGCCAUCAGGUUAAGCUGGGCACUCUGUGGACACUGCCACCGUAAGGUGUGAGGAAGGUGGGGAUGACGUCAAAUCAGCACGGCCCUUACGUCCGGGGCUACACACGUGUUACAAUGGCAGGUACAGAGAGCCGGUCGUAUGCAAAUACGAUCCAAUCCUUAAAGCCUGUCUCAGUUCGGACUGGGGUCUGCAACCCGACCCCACGAAGCUGGAUUCGCUAGUAAUCGCGCAUCA